rnacentral:tRNA from 2 species
GCCCCUGUAUUCCAAUGGCAGAGAAAGGCGACUUAAAAUCGCUACAGUGUGGGUUCGAGUCCCACCAGGGGCACCA